rnacentral:lncRNA from 1 species
UAGACUUCGCCCAAAAAGUAUCAAUGCUGAAGGUUGCAGACUUUGCCGCUCGAGUGACUUUUUUUAACUAAGAUAUAAAAAAUGAAAAUAAAUAAUAGUACUAAUCCAGCCAAGUCCUAUAGUUUAUUGUACAUGGAUACAAAUAUCGAGUGAGUAAAGUGAAAAAAGGACUACGGGAGUACCGCACACAAGUACAAAAUGAGCUUACACUUGACAGCCAUCCACAAGCUAAAAGUUACUGUAGCACUUACGCCAAAAUACGCCAGUUGCGUGUAAGUAUGUGGCUCAUGCUUCUAAGGAGAGAUAUCUUUCAGUGGUCUGAAUUGGCUUUAAAUUAUUUGCUCUCAUGCUUCUAUAGCCAGGAUAAUUGUUUGGUUCACCAUGAGAAUUUUGUUUUACAAAUGCACUGUAGUAAUAAACAAAACAUAUUAAUGUUUUGUCUACCAUACAAACUCCAUUUGAAGAUCAUAAGUAACCAAAUUGCAUUAAUGUAAGAAAUUUAAGUUGAAAUCAAAUUUAGAAUAGAUAAUAAAUGUCAUUAAGAAAUAUAGGUGCAUUUAAAAAUAUGUAUGCAAAUACGGUGGUAGGGGCUCAAUGUGAACAUAUCAUGCAUCAAUAAUCAGUGUAUCAACCUAGAUAUAACGCUUAGAUAUAUCAACAUGCAGAACUCUGGCAAUGUAAAAACAGUAGGAGGUAUAUACAUUCGAAAGAACAAAAAAAAAGGGUAUGCAUGUAUCUGAACAAUGUUAGGACAUCCAUAUGAUCAUGCCAAAAAAUGUGUGUUCGAUGCCAACCUGCUACACAUGUGUAAAAUAGCAUAUAUCAUUCGAGUUAAUGAAGCAAAUCUAUAUUUUGGCUCUAAGAGCAGAGGCUGAGAGCAGCAUAUCAUGUGAACUAUGUAGCAAGAUGUUUCAGUUAUGUUGAAAAAUAUAUAAAUCAAUCCCCAUAAGAACACGUGCAUGACAAUUGAGGGAAAUUAUUGAUGAUACUAAUUGAGAAUUGAUAUUUCUUGCAAGUUUAUCUAUGAAUUUGAUCUGAUAAUUACAUUGUUGGUAUGCGACUAAGGCAAUUUGAGUAGCACAUCAUACCUUGGAGCAUUUAGAAGUAAUAGUGCAUGUACAAAUAUAAUAUAAAUUAUAGUAUAAUCUGCCAUUUAUUAAAUUCAAUAUUGCCCUUAAAUGUGUAAGCAAUGAGUUGAGUGUAUACCUCAUACAUAUUAAUAUUUAAUUACGAGGUAAGUUCCUCUAAAAGUUAUAAUAGUGAGAUGGAUAUAAGGGAUGAGGAGUAAAAUAAAAGGUGAAAGAUUAAUAUAAAAUCUCUACUUUUGAAUGAAUGGCGUGCCUCAGUGCCGUCUGUCUUUCAUUGUUGCUGUUAGACAACAAAAUAUCAUUGUCGACAGCAAAAAUGCACACUCCAUCAAAUACCCAGGAAAGCAUUGGGUUUUACAACACUAUUUAUAUUCUGAAAUAUUUUGAUACUAAUACAUCAUUGAAAUAUAAAUCAAAUGGUAGUUUGCAACUGAGCACGUAACAAUAUAUAGUAAAUCUAGCCGCGCCAAUGCGCGGGUUACCCAGCUAGUUCUUUUAUAUUCUAAAUGACCGUUGUGACAGAAUUAGAAUAAAAUGUCACCUUUUUACAUUAAUUCCAUAUCACCGUUGGGCAGAAAUGGAAAUAACGCAUAUAACUCAUAAAUAAUGUGAUGAUAAAAUUUCUAUUAAGUAACUUUGCUAAGAAAAUAAUCAUCAUUAUCAACUUUAUUGCAACGGAAAACUAGCAAUAUACAUUUCUCAAUCUUUAUCAAAUUCUCUGAAAAUUGGUCACUUUGAUACAAAAUUUACCUGAGAUUUGAACUUUUAACUAUAAGACUCAUUGAAUUAUAAUAUUGUCAUCUUCAACGUUGGUCAGAAAAUAAUAAUACCAUAAUUAAAUUUUAAUCAAAUAUCUUUCUACUGUCAUAGCAGAAGCUAUCUCAAUCUGAUUCUACCCACAAGCGAAAAAACUUCUCUCAAAAACUGUUCUUCCAAUUAAAUUUUUCGUUGGUUCCAAUUUAAUUGGAGGAUUAGACUUUUACUUUGCAGCGGAAACUUUACAAUAUUCUAUUCAGAAGAAUUUCCUUUUUCUUUUAAAAGAGCACUUUAUUUAUUUUGCAGCGAAAAAACAUGAAUAAAAAUUCAUGAACUUUUUAUUCUUUACAGAAACUCUUUUUUGAAAAAACAAAUCAUUAACUUUAUUAUAUUCUUUAUAAAAUUCAUGAACAUUUCUUUUUCUGGUUAUUUCUAUAUUUUCUGAAACAAAAAAUAGCAGCAACGUAGCCUAGCGCACGCAGCAGUGGAAAAAGAAUGGCCCACGGCCUGCGUACUGCGUGUCGUGCGCACCCCUUCAGGCCGAAACCGGCCCAACUACCCAGCGCGCGACCUGUUGUUGAGGCUGACCCGGACGCGGCCCAUGGCCUGCGGCUGGCCUUCUCCACUUGCGGCCCAGAGGCCUGCAGCCAGCUAGGGUUGGCGUAGUGGCCGUCGGAUCCGAUCCGACAGUCCAGCGCGCCGUUCGCUGGAUCAAAACCAGCCGCGUUGGUCGACUGGGGCUGAACCCUAGUCCAUUUUCUCCUCCCGCGCGCCGCUCAUCCUCUCGCUCGCAGCGCUCUCUCUGGCUGGUCCGGCCACCGCGCGAGCCUCCAUGCCGGCCGCCGGCGACGGAGUCCACCACCGCGCCGCGCGAGCCCGGCCACCUUCUCUUCCUUUCCCCUUUCCCUUCUUCUUUCUCUUCUUUUCCGUCUCUGUCGAGGAAAAAAGGGCAGCGUCCUGAUCGGCCACUCCGGCCGCCGUGGACGGCGACGAGGGCCACUGCGCCGCGCGAGCCGUUCCCCUUCCCUUUCUUCUUUCCAUCCACCACCGCCGCAGCGCGAGAGAGACGCGAGCAGAGCCUCUUCUGCUCCCCUUCGCGCGAGCGACGGCGGUUUCCAGAUGCGGCGCCCCCGCUGACCCCUUUGCCGGCGUGCGCGAGCACCUCUAGGGUGAAUGCGCCGCCGUCAAACGGCUCGUUGGUGCUGCCCUUUGCCCCGGUGGGGGUGUGUUCUUCGUCCGAACGGCUCGGCUUGCCGAUGCCCGUCCGGAUCGAGAGGAACUGCGCGUCCUUGCGGCGGCGCAACUUUUUUGACGAAGAGUUAUUUUCCCUCUUUCUCUGUUAGAGCUAGUGUUCUUGGGGGGAGGGGAUUUUUUUCUGUGUUUCUUUUCUUCCGAAAAAGCUUAACCCAGUGGCAUCUGAUACCAUUGUUAGGCCACUAGAUCGUAUGGGUCAAUGAUUUCCGGUAGUGGGGCGUAGAGUAUUACCUCCUCCUUGACCUGACGAGCUUGAGCCGGAGGUCAUGGUGAUGUGGUGACGGCGGUGAUGAGGCAGUGGCUGUGGUGGAGCUUCCCGUCGCUUGUGUGCUAACCCUAGAUCGGUAGGGAUAUCGGUGGGGGUUGCGGCGCAC